CCUUCCCCCACCUCUGAGGAAGGAAGGAAAUAGCAGGGCGGGUAGAGAGGGCAGAAGCCAGUGGUACAGACGGGUUCAGAGACAAUGAGAACAAAAAUAAGUGGAACAGGAAACAAAGGUGGGUGAUAACUUCCCCUGAGAUAUUACCUGCCUUUCUACAGGGUGGACACGUAAUGAUCACAUUUUAUAUUAACCGUACCCACCAGAAAAGGAAGGCAGUUACCUCAUCUUAUAGCUUGGGAAGGAGAAACUUUAAAAUCCUCAGCAUCCACCUCCAAACUCAGCCCACGGUCUCCAAGAAUGUGCUGCCUGCCGUGUGCUGAAAUGUCAAGGCUGGAUCCUUGCGACAAGACACAGUCUGUGUCCUCAGAGAGUGCACUGCGGAGGGGUGAAGGGACCUGACACAAUAGAGCCAGACACAAGCUGAGACAGGCUGAGGUCCCCCACCGUACCCCCCAGAAGGCAGGACGGCGCUCUCUGGGCUGGGGCCUAGCACCCAACAUGGCACCUGCCCCAACACCGGCUCCAGAGUCUUCUUUUUAAUGAAUGGAAUGAACAAAUGUAACAAAGGGGUGAAAAGCUCAAGUUCCAAAGAAGGGGAGUGGGGAGAAAGUGCCACAGAAGAAAGUGACUCACUAAGAACCACUGUGCCAAGAAUGACAAGUUCUGGAACAACAGAACUCGGGGAUUUACAUCCAACACAAGGAAAAAUGGCAGGAACAUGCGGCAGGGAAAGAGGAGUCAUUUCUGAUGCAGGGAGUAGCUGUGGUCUACCCCAUAACCACCCUGGAAGUCGAACGUGGAAUGCUGAGGGCGACAAAGCCAUGAGAAAAAGAGACUCCUCCAACACCCUGAAAUAUCGCACACCAGCUCUCAUUCGUGCCAUUUGUCCAUUCUGUACUCUUGUCCUACCGUCUGUAUAGGCUUGGUUUCUGUGUUGCCCAUCUCUGAUUCAUUUUAUGUCACAAUGUUUGGGAGAGUGUGGGAUACACUCAGUGAUUAAAAUGCUUUGGAUUUAUGGAAGGAAAAAAUUCAAGUCUUUUUAAAUAAAUAGCACAACAGCAUAUACUAUAUAUCCUAAUAGCUCUGGGAUUAGAAAAUAAAACUGAGUUUGCAAUAUGAUUUGGAUAAUCAGAGUUCUUUUUACACAUAAAUUUACAUGUAUUCAUUUCUAUGUAAAUGCCAUAUUCUGUAAGUUUAUACUUAAUUUCUGCUAUCAUUUUUUGUGCAAAAAAAAAGGUCAGCAUUUUAAGUAACAAUAUAAGGGACAGAAAAUAUUACACAUGGGUAUGAUACACAUAUCCAAUUAUAAUAAAUGGGCA
rnacentral:lncRNA from 1 species